rnacentral:rRNA from 1 species
UACGUAGGGUGCGAGCGUUAAUCGGAAUUACUGGGCGUAAAGCGUGCGCAGGCGGUUCGUUAAGUCAGAUGUGAAAGCCCCGGGCUCAACCUGGGAACUGCAUUUGAAACUGGCGGGCUUGAGUGUGGCAGAGGGGGGUGGAAUUCCGCGUGUAGCAGUGAAAUGCGUAGAGAUGCGGAGGAACACCGAUGGCGAAGGCAGCCCCCUGUGCCAACACUGACGCUCAGGCACGAAAGCGUGGGGAGCAAACAGG